UAAUACGUAGGGAGCAAGCGUUGUCCGGAUUCACUGGGUGUAAAGGGUGCGCAGGCGGGUUGGCAAGUCAGAGGUGAAAUCUCACGGCUCAACCGUGAAACUGCCUUUGAUACUGCUAAUCUUGAGUUCGGGAGAGGUUGAUGGAAUUCCAGGUGUAGCAGUGAAAUGCGUAGAUAUCUGGAAGAACACCAGUGGCGAAGGCGGUCAACUGGCCCGUAACUGACGCUCAUGCACGAAAGCGUGGGUAGCGAACAGGAUUAGAUACCCUGGUAGUCCACGCCCUAAACGAUGAAUACUUGGUGUUGGUCCCUUGUGGAUCAGUGCCGUAGGUAACCUGGUAAGUAUUCCACCUGGGGAGUACGCUCGCAAGGGUG
rnacentral:rRNA from 1 species